rnacentral:rRNA from 1 species
GAUGAACGCUGGCGGCGUGCUUAACACAUGCAAGUCGAACGAAGCAUUUAGGACAGAUUACUUCGGUUUGAAGUUCUUUAUGACUGAGUGGCGGACGGGUGAGUAACGCGUGGGUAACCUGCCUUGUACUGGGGGAUAGCAGCUGGAAACGGCUGGUAAUACCGCAUAAGCGCACAAUGUUGCAUGACAUGGUGUGAAAAACUCCGGUGGUAUAAGAUGGACCCGCGUCUGAUUAGCUAGUUGGUGAGAUAACAGCCCACCAAGGCGACGAUCAGUAGCCGAGCUGGGAGGGGGACCGGCCGCGUUUGGACUGAGACACAGCCCAGACUCCGACGGGAGGCAGCAGUGGGGAGUAUUGCACAAUGGAGCAAACUCUGAUGCAGCGGCGCCGGGUGAGUGAGGAAGUAAUUCGUUAUGUAAAGCUCUAUCAGCAGGGAAGAUAGUGACGGUACCUGACUAAGAAGCACCGGCUAAAUACGUG